rnacentral:rRNA from 1 species
GAACGCUGGCGGCGUGCCUAAUACAUGCAAGUCGAGCGAACAGAUGAGGAGCUUGCUCCUCUGACGUUAGCGGCGGACGGGUGAGUAACACGUGGAUAACCUACCUAUAAGACUGGGAUAACUACGGGAAACCGGAGCUAAUACCGGAUAAUAUAUUGAACCGCAUGGUUCAAUAGUGAAAGACGGUUUUGCUGUCACUUAUAGAUGGAUCCGCGCCGCAUUAGCUAGUUGGUAAGGUAACGGCUUACCAAGGCAACGAUGCGUAGCCGACCUGAGAGGGUGAUCGGCCACACUGGAACUGAGACACGGUCCAGACUCCUACGGGAGGCAGCAGUAGGGAAUCUUCCGCAAUGGGCGAAAGCCUGACGGAGCAACGCCGCGUGAGUGAUGAAGGUCUUCGGAUCGUAAAACUCUGUUAUUAGGGAAGAACAAAUGUGUAAGUAACUAUGCACGUCUUGACGGUACCUAAUCAGAAAGCCACGGCUAACUACGUG